AGCCUCGUAGCUCAGUUGGCUUAAGCGUUGGCUGUACUGAAGCCUUCCCCCUUGCUGGCGUGGGUUCGAAUCCCACCGAGGUUU
rnacentral:tRNA from 1 species